rnacentral:rRNA from 1 species
UACGUAGGUGGCAAGCGUUGUCCGGAAUUAUUGGGCGUAAAGCGCGUGUAGGCGGCUUAGCAAGUCGGGCGUGAAAGCCCUCGGCUCAACCGAGGAAGUGCACCCGAAACUGCUGAGCUUGAGUGCCGGAGAGGAUGGCGGAAUUCCCCAAGUAGAGGUGAAAUUCGUAGAUAUGGGGAGGAACACCGGUGGCGAAGGCGGCCAUCUGGACGGUAACUGACGCUGAGACGCGAAAGCGUGGGGAGCAAACAGG